rnacentral:rRNA from 1 species
GGAUGCGAUCAUACCAGCACUAACGCACCGGAUCCCAACAGAACUCCGAAGAUAAGCGUGCAUGGUCGAGAGUAGUACUAGGAUGGGUGACCCCCUGGGAAGUCCCCGUGUUGCAUCCC